rnacentral:rRNA from 1 species
UACAGAGGGGGCAAGCGUUGUUCGGAAUUACUGGGCGUAAAGGGCGCGUAGGCGGCCUGUUAAGUCGAACGUGAAAUCCCUGGGCUCAACCCAGGAACUGCGUCCGAUACUGGUUGGCUUGAAUCCGGGAGAGGGACGUGGAAUUCCUGGUGUAGCGGUGGAAUGCGCAGAUAUCAGGAGGAACACCAAUAGCGAAGGCAGCUCGCUGGGACGGUACUGACGCUAAGGCGCGAAAGCGUGGGGAGCGAACAGG